AAAAGAUGUGUGGAUGUGGUUCUUAGGGACGUGGUUUAGUGGUGGACAUGGAAGUGUUAGAUUAAUAGUUGAACUUGAUGACCUUACAGGUAUUUA